rnacentral:rRNA from 1 species
UACGUAGGGUGCAAGCGUUGUCCGGAAUUAUUGGGCGUAAAGAGCUCGUAGGCGGUUUGUCGCGUCUGCUGUGAAAACCCGAGGCUCAACCUCGGGCCUGCAGUGGGUACGGGCAGACUAGAGUGCGGUAGGGGAGAUUGGAAUUCCUGGUGUAGCGGUGGAAUGCGCAGAUAUCAGGAGGAACACCGAUGGCGAAGGCAGGUCACUGGGCCGCAACUGACGCUGAGGAGCGAAAGCAUGGGGAGCGAACAGG